rnacentral:tRNA from 1 species
GUUAAUGUAGCUUACCAUAAAGCACAGCACUGAAGAUGCUGAGACGAACAAUAAAUAUGUUCCAAUAACA